rnacentral:SRP_RNA from 1 species
CCAUUUAAAAUUCGCCGCACUGCGGCUUUUUGUUUUUCUUUCGGACUGCGGUAGUUGGUCCUGCGCAAUGAGAGCCUGUGAACCUCGUCAGGGCCGGAAGGAAGCAGCGAUAAGCGGUCACUCUUAUGUGCCGCGGGGGUGCCUAUUAUCGCAGCCCGAUAGGAAAACAAAGAAAAAAGG